rnacentral:ribozyme from 1 species
GCUGCUCGAAACUUUGCACACCUCUCCGUGGUGAGCAGCAGGCAACGAUCGUAUGUGUGAGCAUGAUCGGCUAAGAAUGCAAAG